CAGAUCACCAUAAAAUUUGGAUCAUCGGUGAUCUUAAAUUACCAUGAUGAUCUUAUUUAAGUCAUCAAAUGUUACCUAACAUUCUUGUUAGUGCUAGUGCAGUCAAGAAGUAUGAAUCUCAAAUAGACCGUUAAACUUAAUUGGUGUGUUGAUGUAACCACCUAUUGCAUUUAUGAUCAAACAAAUAAUAAGCCAUUCAGUAAAGAGCAAAAUUAGUUUUGCUCAUAGUUCUCAGAUCUCAUAUAGGCCUAUAAUUAAUUAGUGAUCAGAAAUUCCUUAAACUAGUUUAAAUAACUCAAAACCUAGCCUUA
rnacentral:lncRNA from 1 species